GAUGAACGCUGGCGGCGUGCCUAAGAAAUGAAAGUCGAGGGAACAGAUGAGGAGCUUGAUGGGCUGAGGUGAGCGGCGGACGGGUGAGUAACACGUGGAUAACCGACCUAUAAGACUGGGAUAACUUCGGGAAACCGGAGCUAAUACCGGAUAAUAUAUUGAACCGCAUGGUGCAAUAGUGAAAGACGGUUUUGCUGUCACUUAUAGAUGGAUCCGCGCCGCAUUAGCUAGUUGGUAAGGUAACGGCUGACCAAGGCAACGAUGCGUAGCCGACCUGAGAGGGUGCUCGGCCACACUGGAACUGAGACACGGUCCAGACUCCUACGGGAGGCAGCAGUAGGGAAUCUUCCGCAAUGGGCGAAAGCCUGACGGAGCAACGCCGCGUGAGUGAUGAAGGUCUUCGGAUCGUAACCCUCUGUUAUUCGGGAAGAACAAAUGUGUAAGUCACUAUGCACGUCUUGACGGUACCUAAUCAGAAAGCCCCGGCUCCCUACGUC
rnacentral:rRNA from 1 species